GGGCGGAGGCGAAGGCCUGUUUGAGGGAGUGGUCGCCAGGGAAAUUGGCAUCUGGUUGCAAAAAAGUACCCAAGGAGCGCGGGAGAGCUCGGCGUAGAGUGGGCGUCCAGUCAACUUCUCUGAGAAGUUUACCCUGACAACCCCAAGAGGAAAACAGCAUCUCCCUCCUCCAAACAUUUCCUACCCUUUGCAUCCUCUCAUGAAAACUAUCUCCUGGUGGAGUCAAAGAGCCAGCACUCGCCUUCACACCGAAGGACCACAGCAGAGGCACCCCGGGUUGGAGAUGGGUAUGCUGCACCCGUCCCCAGAAAUGUCACAUCCAUAGACAUCUUCCACCCUGCAACAGAAAGAUCAUCUGGGGAUUAUUUCAUAUCACUGUACCAAAAACAUAUUCCUGUAAUAUUUAUCUCUAUUAUUACUUUUUGGUUAUUUAGAACAGUCUGGAUUCUUGGUCUCUCAUAGUAUUCCACACAUAUCCACAGUAAGGUUUUAAUAACUUGGCUAAAACUACAAGUUAACAAAUCUUGUAUAAUUGUUCACACACCCAAACAAACAAAAAUAACCAAACCCAGGCAAUUAAAAACUAUAGCUGAAUUCUAACUAUAUGAUGUUCUCAAAAAGGCAAAACUAUGGAGACAGUAAAAAUCGUGCUUGCUAGUGAUACAGGGUGAGAGAAGGAAGAAUGAACAGGCAGAGCACAGGGGAUGUUUAAGGCAGUGAAACGAUUCUGUAUGAUACAGUAAGACAGACAUAUGUCAUUAUACAUUGGUCAACUGUACACAGAAUAAACACCACUAGAGUGAAUGAGCUCUAAUGUAAACUUUAGUUGACAGUGUAUCUGUAUCAAUAUUGGCUCAACAACUGUAACACAUGUAGCACAUUUUUCAUUUUUUUUUCAUGAGCCCUUAAGCUUCUGAACAUAUACCGCAUUAAUGCAAGAUGUUAAUAAGGGGAAACUGAGGGGUGAGGGAUAAGAGAGUAUAUGGGAACACUCUGUACUUUCUACUUACUAAUUUUUUUAAAAAAAAUCCUUCUAAUAAACACUAAACAACAACAACUCUAGUUGAGAUACAGGGCAAGAGAUGGUAUUUAAUGAUACUCACCAUAUGGUGUCUCUGAUGCCCAUAAUGAUCAGCCCUUUCCCUUUCUCUGAACAAUCAUAACAGUAAUGCUCUAUUAUGCUCUAUAGUCAUGCUGAUAUUUCACAAUAAUGCUGAACAAAUGUCUCACUCCCUACAUGACAUGGUCCAUGACUCACGAGGACUUGGGACUCUGCUAUUUUAAGUGAUCAGCAACAACCUGUUGAAUGUGCAGGUUUAUUCCAACUCCUGGCACUAUUCCUUUCACUAUUUCUAGGUACAUCUGACAUCACUGAUAUACUUCUGAGAUGGAAGAUAUGUAUCAAACAGAAUGUAUUAGAAUGAACUGAAAUUUAUACAUAACUGAUUAUAGAUUAUCCACAUUGAUGGCAGGGAAGAAAACAAAUAAGCUUAAGAAAAACUACUGUAAGAGAAUUUGACUGACAGCUAGAUAUAAAAUAUACAAAAACUUCAGUAACUCUUCUCAGUCUUAGCAAUAACAAGAUAAAAACAGAAAUGGGGGAAAAACCCAUUCUAAGAGCAAAAACAAAAUUACCAGAAAUAAAGUUAGCAGGAAAGGAACAGCACCCAAAAGAUUCACACGAAUAAAAGAUACACAUUAUGUCCCUGAUAGGAUGACUUGAUAUCACAGAGAUGUUCAUCCUUCCUAAGCUAAUGUAGAUGUAUUUGGUGGAAAUUCUAUCAGACUUCCAGUGGGAUUUAUUUUGGAACAGAAACAAUCCAAAAAUCAUAUGGAAGGAAAAAUAAAUGUCUGAGAAGGGACGAGAAAAUUCCAAAAAGCAGUGAGUGGUGACCUGCUUUUCUAGGUAUUAACAUUUACUACAGCAAUCUGACAUAAUUAAAACAGAAUAGGCCGGGCACGGUGGCUCAUGCCUGUUAUCCCAGCACUUUGGGAGGCUGAGGAGGGUGGAUCACCUAAGGUCAGGAGUUUGAGAGCAGCCUGGCCAAGAUGGUGAAACCCUGUCUCUACUAAAAAUACAAAAAUUAGUCGUGCAUGCUGGCGCACACCUGUAGUCCCAGCUACUUCAGGAGGCUGAGGCAGCAGAAUUGCUUGAACCUGGGAGGCGGCAGUCAUAGUGAGCCAAGAUUGCACAAUUGCACUCCAGCCUGGGUGACAGAGUAAGACUCUGUCUCAACAAAUACAUACAUACAUACAUACAUACAAACAAUAAUAUUGGCACAAAAAUAGAGGCAAAAGGGAAGGGAAAGUUCAGAAAUAAACCAGCUACCUAUCGGAAUCAAUACAGUAUAUAACAAAGGUGUAAAAAGUGUGGUUUCUUUAAUGAAUGGCACUGACAUAAUUGGCUAUUCUAGCAGAGAAAAAAGCAAAGAAAGAUGCUCACUUUGCAUUGUAUAUAAAAAUACACUUCACGUAGUUAAGAAAUUUAAAUGUAAAAAAUCCAAUAACGUGUUCAAAAAAAUUAGGAGAAUGUUUAUACAUUUAACUGUGGAGAUGGGAAGCCCUUAUUGGCAAGACAUAAAAUCCAGAAAUUUUAAAAACAGACAUUUUCACUAAAUAAAAUCUUUUAUAUAUAUUGAGACUCAUAAA